CCUGUUGAUGUGACCUAUGCUGAGGUUGACCUUAAACAGAAGGCCAAAGCCAAGAAGAAGAAAGAAACAGCAACCCCACCUGAGACAGAUUCAGUCUAUUAUCAAUUGAAGCCAGGUACAGCCCCAGGUACUUGAGGGGGUCAGGGAUGGAGGGAUGGAGAGAUGAAAGGAUGGCGGGUUGGAGGGAUGGAUGGAUGGAUGGAAGGACACACCAUCAGAGGAGGAGCAGAAGCAGAAGGAAACCGGAACAUGGAUUUUGUGCUCUCAAUGCACACAAUCAAACAAACACAUGCACAAACACAAUAACACCUUGUACAUUAAGGAGUUCUUACUUAUUUCAUUUACCAACAGAUAUAUUAUUUAACUUUGGGAUAUGUGGGGCGGUAGCGUCCCACUUGGCCAAAAGCCAGAGAAAAUGCAGAGCACCAAAUUCAGAUCAAUUCCUAUAAAAAUCAAGCUUUCAUGACAUCACACCUGUAAGAUACCAAAUUAAAGCUACACGUGUUGUGAAUCCAGCCAACAUGUCAGAUU